rnacentral:tRNA from 1 species
AGUAGAAUGGCUGAGAUAAAAAAUAGGUGAUAGAUUGUAAAUCUAUUAAGGGGUAGAAAAUAUAAUUCCCUUCUACUA